rnacentral:hammerhead_ribozyme from 1 species
ACCCAGCUGACGAGUCCGGAAUGGGACGAAAUGCACGUUCCGGAU